ensembl:lncRNA
CUUGGAUAACUGUGAUAUUUAAUGGUUUGGCUUGGAGAGAUCAGAAAUCUCCAGCGAACAGAGAUCAUUCUGUCGUUUUUGAGAUUGCAUCCAAGUACUGCAUUUCAGACUCUCUUGUUGACCAUGAUGGCUACUCCAUUUCUUCUGAGGGAUUCCUGCCUGCAGUAGUAGAUGUAAUGGUCAUCUGAGCGCAGGUGGCUGCGAGCCGGCUCACUAUCACUAAGCGUGGCCGAGAAGGAGCUACCCUGCGUCCGAGGUCAGGGGCGGCGGCCAAGAGGAGCUAUCCUGCGUCUGAGGUCACCAUGGGCACCUUAAUCUUCUCCAGCCUCAACUUCUUCCACUGUGAAAUGAGUACAGUCACAGAGCCUCUCUCGUGGGGUGUUUGAGGAUUAACAAGCAGAAUGGACACUUGCCCAAUGGAAACCCCACAGUGGAACGUCGGGUGCUGUGGCCGGGCCUGAAUGGUGCAGCGGCGCCAUCGUCUGGUGGAAUUGCGAGCUGCACCCUGAGAAAACCGACCGCUUUUCUCUUCUACAUCUUCUACAAGCAUCGGGUUCACCCAGCCCCAGAGGCUCCCAGCUGUCCCAGCUCUGGGAAAGCCCAGGUGUGGACCUGGGAGACAGGGACCAAUAUUUAGGGAUCCCUACUGACUGUGUCUCAAAAAUUACGAUGAGGAUCAGGG